rnacentral:rRNA from 1 species
GACGACGCUGGCGGCGUGCCUAACACAUGCAAGUCGAGCGGGUUGAAGCGAGGGGUAACUCGGACUUCUACCUAGCGGCGGACGGGUGAGUAACGCGUGGGCAACCUGCCUCAAGGUUUGGGAUAACAGCUCGAAAGGGCUGCUAAUACCGGAUAUGCCUGUGGCCUCGCAUGGGGCUAUGAGCAAAGGGGAAACCCGCCUUGAGAUGGGCCCGCGUCCCAUCAGCUAGUUGGUGAGGUGAAGGCUCACCAAGGCGACGACGGGUAGCCGGCCUGAGAGGGUGACCGGCCACACUGGGACUGAGACACGGCCCAGACUCCUACGGGGGGCAGCAGUGGGGGAUCUUGCACAAUGGGCGAAAGCCUGAUGCAGCGACGCCGCGUGAGCGAAGAAGGCCUUCGGGUUGUAAAGCUCUGUCUGGAGGGACGAAACAAAUGACGGUACCUCCGGAGGAAGCCACGGCUAACUACGUG